GAUGAACGCUCGCGGGAGGCCUAACACAUGCAAGCCGAGCGGUAGAGUCUCUUCGGAGCCUUGAGAGCGGCGCACGGGUGCGGAACACGUGUGCAACCUGCCUUUAUCUGGGGGAUAGCCUUUCGAAAGGAAGAUUAAUACCCCAUAAUAUACUGGAUGGCAUCAUCUGGUAUUGAAAACUCCGGUGGAUAGAGAUGGGCACGCGCAAGAUUAGAUAGUUGGUGAGGUAACGGCUCACCAAGUCAGCGAUCUUUAGGGGGCCUGAGAGGGUGAUCCCCCACACUGGUACUGAGACACGGACCAGACUCCUACGGGAGGCAGCAGUGAGGAAUAUUGGACAAUGGGUGAGAGCCUGAUCCAGCCAUCCCGCGUGAAGGACGACGGCCCUAUGGGUUGUAAACUUCUUUUGUAUAGGGAUAAACCUAGAUACGUGUAUCUAGCUGAAGGUACUAUACGAAUAAGCACCGGCUAACUCCGUG
rnacentral:rRNA from 1 species